rnacentral:rRNA from 1 species
UUGAAAGGAAACGAUUGAAGUCAGUCAUGCCGGUGAGAAUCAACUUGGAAUAACUUUCAAGUGCACUUCUUCGCUUGGCAGGUUAGCGUCGAUUUCGAAUGUCAUAAAAUGAUUGGGGGAAGGUAGCUCCUUCGGGAGUGUUAUAGCCCUUGGUUAAUGUGAUGUUUGGGAUCGAGGUUUGCAACGGAUACCUUUUAGGCUAGCCGCCUGGCCUCUGAUUCGAUGUCGGGUUAUAGACAGCAUGCUGACUAUGAUCAGAUUAUUGGUCAAAAGGUUAGAGCGAGUAUAAAUUCGUUAAGGAUGUUGACGUA